rnacentral:rRNA from 1 species
UACAGAGGUCUCAAGCGUUGUUCGGAUUCAUUGGGCGUAAAGGGUGUGUAGGUGGCGCCGUAAGUCGGGUGUGAAAUUUCGGAGCUUAACUCCGAAACUGCAUUCGAUACUGCGGUGGCUCGAGGGUUGGAGGGGGGACUGGAAUUCUCGGUGUAGCAGUGAAAUGCGUAGAUAUCGAGAGGAACACCAGUGGCGAAGGCGAGUCCCUGGACAACUCCUGACACUGAGGCACGAAAGCUAGGGGAGCAAACAGG